AUUGAACGCUGGCGGCAGGCUUAACACAUGCAAGUCGAACGGUAACAGGAAGAAAGCUUGCUUUCUUUGCUGACGAGUGGCGGACGGGUGAGUAAUGCUUGGGAAUCUGUUUCAUGGAGGGGGAUAACUACGGGAAACUGUAGCUAAUACCGCGUAAUAUCGAGAGAUUAAAUGUGUGGGACCGUAAGGCCACAUGCCAUGAAGUGAGCCCAAGUGGGAUUAGAUAGUUGGUGAGGUAAUGGCUCACCAAGUCGGCGAUCUCUAGCUGGUCUGAGAGGAUGACCAGCCACACUGGGACUGAGACACGGCCCAGACUCCUACGGGAGGCAGCAGUGGGGAAUAUUGCACAAUGGGCGCAAGCCUGAUGCAGCCAUGCCGCGUGAAUGAAGAGGGCCUUCGGGUUGUAAAGUUCUUUCGGUGGUGAGGAAGGUUGACGUGUUAAUAGCACGUUGAUUUGACGUUAGCCACAGAAGAAGCACCGGCUAACUCCGUGCCAGCAGCCGCGGUAAUACGGAGGGUGCGAGCGUUAAUCGGAAUAACUGGGCGUAAAGGGCACGCAGGCGGUGACUUAAGUGAGGUGUGAAAGCCCUGGGCUUAACCUAGGAAUUGCAUUUCAUACUGGGUCGCUAGAGUAUUUUAGGGAGGGGUAGAAUUCCACGUGUAGCGGUGAAAUGCGUAGAGAUGUGGAGGAAUACCGAAGGCGAAGGCAGCCCCUUGGGAAUGUACUGACGCUCAUGUGCGAAAGCGUGGGGAGCAAACAGG
rnacentral:rRNA from 1 species